rnacentral:tRNA from 1 species
UGGGGUGUGGAUCCGUGGUAGAGCAUGUGCUCAGCAUGCAGAAGGCCCUGGGUUGGAUCCUCAGCAGCCCUG